CUGAAACAUCUUAGUAGCUGCAGGAAGAGAAAGAAACAUCGAUUCCCUGAGUAGCGGCGAGCGAAAAGGGAAGAGCCCAAACCAACAAGCUUGCUUGUUGGGGUUGUAGGACUGGACAUUAGAGUUACCAAAGUGCGACGUAGUCGCAACAGUUGGGAAGCUGUGCCAUAGAGGGUGAAAGCCCCGUAGACGAAACGUCACACUCUCUGUUCAGGAUCCUGAGUACGGC
rnacentral:rRNA from 1 species